UGCUCUUUAUUUCACUCCUACGACAUCAGCAAAACAAGAACACUGAUGCAGAAACAAACAUCACUCAUCUCCCAGCAGUCAUGUGACUCAGAGCUGUGACUCCAAACGAAAGACUGCAGAGCUCAGAGUUUUAAACAAUCCAGGAAGUCACAGAGGGGUCUGCUAUCAUCUUAGGCAUAAGUUCUUACAGCAAACAUAUCAAACUCUGCCAUACAGUAAUGAAACUCCAGCACCAGCUCACUACUCUAUAGAAUCACACAAUAUGUCAGAAGUUUCUCCUUACCUGUGAGAGCACAGCAGGCAACAAGGAUCAACACAGCAACUCUCUGCAUGGUGACAGGUCUUGACUGACGGCCUUGUUAACUGUUCUUCACACCAGCCUGAUAUGCAAGAAGAGGGAGGCACCUCUUUCCAUAAAUACACGGCUGAGUCAAGGCAGUGCAACAGCAGAGGAAGCACAAACAGCAUCCUUCAAAAUAAAAGCAACACCCGUUAAA